UCUGACCGAGCAACGCCGCGUGAGUGAAGAAGGUUUUCGGAUCGUAAAACUCUGUUGUUAGAGAAGAACGUCAGUGAGAGUGGAAAGUUCACUGAGUGACGGUAUCUAACCAGAAAGGGACGGCUAACUACGUGCCAGCAGCCGCGGUAAUA
rnacentral:rRNA from 1 species